rnacentral:rRNA from 1 species
CCUACGGGGGGCAGCAGUGAGGAAUAUUGGUCAAUGGACGAGAGUCUGAACCAGCCAAGUAGCGUGAAGGAUGACUGCCCUAUGGGUUGUAAACUUCUUUUAUAUGGGAAUAAAACGUUCCACGUGUGGGAUUUUGUAUGUACCAUAUGAAUAAGGAUCGGCUAACUCCGUGCCAGCAGCCGCGGUAAUACGGAGGAUCCGAGCGUUAUCCGGAUUUAUUGGGUUUAAAGGGAGCGUAGGUGGAUUGUUAAGUCAGUUGUGAAAGUUUGCGACUCAACCGUAAAAUUGCAGUUGAAACUGGCAGUCUUGAGUACAGUAGAGGUGGGCGGAAUUCGUGGUGUAGCGGUGAAAUGCUUAGAUAUCACGAAGAACUCCGAUUGCGAAGGCAGUUCACUGGACUGCAACUGACACUGAGGCUCGAAAGUGUGGGUAUCAAACAGGAUUAGAUACCCAGUAGUC